ensembl:lncRNA
CCCCCAGAUAAUCCAGGAUGACCUUGAGGUCACUGAUAAUGCCAAGGACGCUUUUUCCAAACAAGGGGCCACAAGGCAUGUGGGAUCUGAGCUUCCUGACCAGGGAUUGAACCCACACCCUCUGCAUUGGAAGGCGAAGUCCCAACCACUGGACCACCAGGGAAGUCCCUGUUUUGAAAUUUAAAAACACAAGGUCUAGGGCGAGUGUCCCCAGCCUCCGUGCCAAGGACCGUACUGCCCGUCAGAUCAGCAGCGGCAUUAGGUUAGAAAUAAAGUGAACACUUGAAUCAUCCUGAAACCAUCCCUCCAAAUCCCAUUUUUCUGUGGAAAAAUGGUCUUCCAUGAAAUUGGUCUCUGGUGCCAAAAAGGUUGUUGUUCAGUCACUGAGUCACGUCCAACUCUUUUGCAACCCCAUAGACUGCAGCACGCCAGGCUUCUCUGUCCUUCACUGACUCCUGACUGCUCAAACUCGUGUCCAUUGAGGCGGUGAUGCCAUCCAACCAUCUCAUCCUCUGUCAUCCCUUUAUCCAGCCCUCAGUCUAUCCCAGCCUCAGAGUCUUUUCUAAUGAGUUGACCAAAAAGGUUGGGGGCCACUGAUGUAGGGGAUAGACUGGGCUUGGAUCCUGACUCCCUUCCAACAGGAGUAUGACCUCAGGCUGGUUACUUGACCUCUCUGUAAUGGUUCAUUGGUUGUAGCUGUGUAACAGAUUACCUCAAAACUUAGCAGCUGAAAAGAACAC